UUCCGGUUGAUCCCGCCGGAGGCCAUUGCUAUCGGAGUCCGAUUUAGCCAUGCUAGUCGCACGGGCUUAGACCCGUGGCAUAUAGCUCAGUAACACGUGGCCAAACUACCCUACAGACCGCCAUAACCUCGGGAAACUGAGGCCAAUAGCGGAUACAACUCUCAUGCUGGAGUGCCGAGAGCCGGAAACGCUCCGGCGCUGUAGGAUGUGGCUGCGGCCGAUUAGGUAGACGGUGGGGUAACGGCCCACCGUGCCGAUAAUCGGUACAGGUUGUGAGAGCAAGAGCCUGGAGACGGAAUCUGAGACAAGAUUCCGGGCCCUACGGGGCGCAGCAGGCGCGAAACCUUUACACUGCACGCCAGUGCGAUAGGGGGACUCCGAGUGCGAGGGCAUAUCGCCCUCGCUUUUCUGCACUGUAAGGUGGUACAGGAAUAAGGACUGGGCAAGACCGGUGCCAGCCGCCGCGGUAAUACCGGCAGUCCGAGUGAUGGCCAAUGUUAUUGGGCCUAAAGCGUCCGUAGCCGGCCGUGCAAGUCCGUUGGGAAAUCGGCGCGCUCAACGCGUCGGCGUCCAGCGGAAACUGUUCGGCUUGGGGCCGGAAGACCUGAGGGGUACGUCCGGGGUAGGAGUGAAAUCCUAUAAUCCUGGACGGACCACCGUUGGCGAAAGCGCCUCAGGAAGACGGACCCGACGGUGAGGGACGAAAGCUAGGGUCUCGAACCGGAUUAGAUACCCGGGUAGUCCUAGCUGUAAACGAUGCUCGCUAGGUAUGCCGCACGCUACGAGCUUGCGCUGUGCCGAAGUGAAGACGAGAAGCGAGCCGCCUGGGAAGUACGUCCGCAAGG
rnacentral:rRNA from 1 species